AUUGAACGCUAGCGGGAUGCUUUACACAUGCAAGUCGAACGGCAGCGCGGACUUCGGUCUGGCGGCGAGUGGCGAACGGGUGAGUAAUGUAUCGGAACGUGCCCAGUAGCGGGGGAUAACUACGCGAAAGCGUAGCUAAUACCGCAUACGCCCUACGGGGGAAAGCAGGGGAUCGUAAGACCUUGCACUAUUGGAGCGGCCGAUAUCGGAUUAGCUAGUUGGUGAGGUAACGGCUCACCAAGGCGACGAUCCGUAGCUGGUUUGAGAGGACGACCAGCCACACUGGGACUGAGACACGGCCCAGACUCCUACGGGAGGCAGCAGUGGGGAAUUUUGGACAAUGGGGGCAACCCUGAUCCAGCCAUCCCGCGUGUGCGAUGAAGGCCUUCGGGUUGUAAAGCACUUUUGGCAGGAAAGAAACGUCGCGGGCUAAUACCCCGUGGAACUGAUGGUACCUGCAGAAUAAGCACCGGCUAACUACGUG
rnacentral:rRNA from 1 species